UUCGGAGGAAUUCUGGGUAGUAAAGUGGUUGUUUUUCAAUGGUGGAUUGCUUGAUUUACGAACUGUAAAUCCUGAUGUUGUAGGAACAUGAAUUCAGAAAUUGAACCCCACAUAAGUAAAAAAUAUGAAAUCAAAAAGAGAUUGGGAAAAGGGGCCUAUGGGAUUGUGUGGAAGGCUGUUGACCGGAGGACUGGGGAAGUGGUUGCUGUUAAGAAAAUAUUUGAUGCUUUCAGAAACCAGACAGAUGCUCAGCGUACUUUCCGUGAGAUAAUGUUUCUCCAGGAAUUUGGAGACCAUCCUAAUAUCAUCAAGCUGCACAAUGUCAUCAAAGCCGAGAAUGACAAAGAUAUUUAUCUAGUAUUUGAAUUUAUGGAAACUGACCUACAUAAUGUGAUAAAGCGAGGAAGUAUUCUGCGGGAUGUACACAAACGUUACAUCAUGUACCAGCUGUUAAAGGCCACUAAAUACCUUCACUCCGGCAACGUCAUACACAGGGAUAACAAGCCAUCAAACGUACUACUGGACAGCGACUGUGUGGUCAAGGUGUGUGACUUUGGAUUGGCUCGUUCCCUCACACAGAUAGGGAUAGAUGCUGAGACUGGGGACCCCAACCUUACGGAGUAUGUGGCCACUCGCUGGUACAGGGCACCAGAGAUUCUGCUAGCAUCACACAGGUACACUAAGGGUGUGGAUAUGUGGAGUCUCGGCUGUAUCCUUGGAGAAUUAUUAGGGGGCAAGCCUCUUUUCCCUGGCUCCUCAACUCUCAAUCAGAUAGAGAAAAUUAUGGGUGGCAUCCCUGUACCAACUCGAGAAGACAUUGAAAGUUUACAAUCGGCCUAUGGUUCUUCAGUGUUAGGAAAAGCUUCUGUGAAGCCAAAGAAGAGUUUUGAAGACAUGCUACCUGAUGUUCCAAAAGAAGCUUUAGACUUAUUACGACGACUUCUUCAUUUUAACCCUGACAAACGUAUAACUGCUGAUGAAGGACUACGCCAUCCUUAUGUAUCUAGGUUUCAUAAUCCGGCCGAAGAAAGAAGUAUAGACUACGAUGUGGUUCCACCACUUAGUGACGAUGUACAGCUAACAGUCGACGAGUACAGAAACAAGUUAUACGAGAUGAUUAUGCAAAAGAAACAGGAGCGCCGCAGACGCCGCCAAGAAAUGAGGAGUGCCCCUCAUCCCAUGCGUGUACGCACAGAGAGCCCCCACCCUCCCAGUGAACCAUACCACAAAGACAACUCUCCAAAAGGGGCGUCGCCCAAAGUCUACAACAACAAACAUGCAGGAGACGGCCCUCCACAAUCGGCCCCUCAACACCAUUCAUCAUUUUCAGCAUUUGGAAGAACAACACAUGGAGAUCAAGUGCCUCCACAACCAAAGUCAAGAAAUGUACGCCGACCAAACAAUGAGAACAUGGAGAGAGCUGCAACAAACGCUGGUAUGGAGAUGUUUGAAGUCUUCCUCAAAUCUCAAAACCCCAAAGUUCAGAUGAAUCAGUUUCUUUAUGGCCGUAAUAUGCCCAAGAUGGCACAUGAUCCCUAUCCAGCUAUGUCUAAGAACAGACAAGCCUCAGCCCCCGCCGCCUCACGGAUGGGCAGUCGACCCAUAUCUGGUGCCUAUGGUGUAAAGAAUCCUACCAUCACAAGGGAUGAAAAAUCGUCAGGUCUAGCAGUUACUAGCUCACGAAUGUUGGGGAUUGACCGAUUGCUUUCUUGUGCAAUGGACCCCCUUCCUCCGAUAAAGUCUCACUUCCAUGAGUACCACGAACCUUUUGAUGACUGCUCUGUACCUGGUCAGCGGCCAUCCUCAGCAACCAAUCAACAACAGAGGAAGCCUUUGUAUGGCAAGAAACAGUACAGCAAUGCAAUCAACAACCCGUCAGCAGGUUCUCACAAGGCCUACUUCGGCAGUUACAAUCAGAACGUAGGCACCAUCUCCUCCUCAGCGCUAGCUUCACUUCAGGGCAAGAGGUCAUGAUUGGUGAAGGGGGCGUGAUAGGGCUCUGGCAACGUGUAUGGACCACAAAACAUAUUCAUGUCUACAUCUGACCUAUGUAUGUUUUAUCUGACGCUAGCUUUCUUCCUUUCACUGAGAAUUGGAAAUAGGUUUUUGUUCAACUGUUAUUGGUUGAAUGUCUGUAAACCAUCAUGAGGUGACUGAAGGAAUAGGUUGACAUUUUUAAAGCUAGAUAAGUCAGGACUGUUCAUUGCUCAUUUGUUCAGGGUUGUCCGAGUAAUAAUGGUCACAGAAAAAAAUAUUUAGGUGUGGUUUAAAGGAAGCAAUAAACAUGUCCUUAAAAGUCAGAUUUUAUUUUUGAAAAAUUGGAAAGUAAAUUUAAAGAUCUGUAACAGAUCAGGAAGUUGCUUUCUACAGUGAGAUUUGUAACAAAAGAAUUCAUUGAGAUUCACUAGUAACUAGAAUCUGCAGACAAACUGUAUAUUGUCACCUCCACCAGAAGUAUAUAUACAGAACAUAACUGACAGAUGAUAUAGUUAACUGUCUAUUUAACAGUUAGGUGUAAGAUAAAAAAAAAAAACACCUGGAAUGUAGUAGUGUGGAGUUAAGCUAAUUUGUGACCAAGUGAAAUAUCAGGUUGUAUCUGUUUUCCUUUGGAGAACUGGUUGGUGUUUUUUUCUGUAGAUUUUACUUGCCACAAUUUAUUGGAAAUAGUACAGUAUAUUUGGCCCAGUAAAGCCAUAGGAGACACUGUUUUUCUGAGUUUGGUGAAGGGUUGGGUCACUGGGAUCACACAAGGAUAGGGGGCACUUUUAAUAUCCCGUGCUUACUGAUGGUCUUAAAAGUUAUAACUAUAAGACAGUUCUACUGUUCAAGAAGCAAGGUCUAGGGAAAGUAAUAGCUGUUAACUGUCAUACACAAGAAGACAUUAGUUUAGCAUUUAACAGUAAGGCCCAACCUUUCAUUAUUUAAGUUCAUCAGAUGUUGGUUUAAGAAUCAUGUUAUGAAGAUUCUAAUUUCAUGGCUUGAUUUGUUUUACUUGACUAUUUUGAUGUUAUAUUCUGGCAUUAUCUCUUCAUCUGCUAUAAAUAUGAUAAAAUAAAAUAAAGAGUAAAAUUUGGGUACAAAUGUGAUACAGAUUUCACCCCCUUCUCAGGGAUAAGGCUGCCCAAGUCUAAUGCAAGUAACAUGAAAUAUGUAUCCCUGCAGCUACACAUUACAUUGUCUACCACCCCAAAAUGUCGCCCCAAGUCUAAGAUCACAGUUAGGGGUCAAAGUUCUAAUGAUAUUGGAUUUACUGCCCAAGGUUUAAGGUUGGAUUUCCCUCAUUAACCUGGUACUUGUUAUCACUGGACAUUGUGUCACACACUACUUAAUAUGGAAAGGCCAAGGUCACAAGUAGAGGUCAAAUCACCUUUUUUUGGAGUCUGGUCAUGUGUGCAAAUAAUAUUUAUUUGUCUGCUGAAGGGCAAGGUUAGUGUAUUAAUUUGGGUUUGCAGAACUCUGACCUUGUGUGCAUUAGAAAAUGUCUUACAUGAAAAUCUUUUUGAAAUAGUGUUGCAUGUACUAUAACAAUGAUUUUUAAAAUCCACAAUAUUUUGCUUGCAAGGAGAGGAAGUAUUGAUUGCAAUGAGAAGGAGUAUUUGUAAGGGCAGGUGUGAGAGGAUAAGAAUGACAGGAUUUUUCCUGGUUUGGACAGACUAUCUGGAUAAUAGCAAAGUGAUUGCAUGUGAAACUUGAAGAAUGCUAGGGUAGUUUUUAUAUUUUCAAAAGCUGAACCAUUUCCUUCUAUUCUCUGAUUUUCCUCAGUUUCGUUGGAAAACGUAACGUUUGGAGGAGGAAGUUGUCUUCAAAAAAGGUGUAACAAUCUGACAUAAAAGAAAAUUUGAGUGCAUUCGUAACAUUUAUUUUAAAAGUCAAAAUUUGCACUCGUGAUUUUAUAAAAAAAAAAAAAAAAAUGUAUUUUGCAUACUUUAAUGCUUCUGAAAUGGUCUACGACAAGGAUUUACACAGAACAGUUUGAACUAGGUUUUUGCUGAAAAUGUGUUCAUUAAAAUACCCUCAGUUGAGUAAAAGAUAAAAUGAGGCUGUGGAAGUCCAGGUAGGACUACCAGUGUGUUCCUCAAAUAUAUGUACCAACACGCACCUCACAGAAUCAAACCAUUCGCACAUGUUGGAAACUUCACUUUUUGUUGUUGUGAGAACAUUAUUUUAAUUUUAAAUAUUGUUAAUUUUAAAUAUUUUAUGAUGACUACCCAUAGUGUGAUAUAAGUAUAGUAUAAACCGUCACCAUUUUGCCGUCCAAUAUACAUCACCAAUAUUAUCUCAUGAUACAUGUAUACAUCCUGUUUUAUGUAUUAAAUAAUUAUAUACAUAUAAUGUACUGUGUGCCGAGGGUUAGUGUAUUCUCAAAUUGAAUGAUAUAUUUCAAAUUAUCCACAUUUACAUUCCAAUGUUUUUAUCAUUCCAGCAACGGUUGAUUGCAUUUCAUAGAAAUGGACUUUUUUGCUGUUAUAUUUUUCAUUAUUUUAUAUUCAUUAACUUCUGAUUUCGAUCAAUAACCAAUUGAUCAAAAUAUGUAUACCAUAAUAUUGGGUUCUAUCAGAUGUUGAGUUAAUAUGAUUGUUUCUUUUUGCUUUUUAGAAAUAUUGCCUUUUUAUAUUUGUUUGAAUCAAUUUAAGAGGACCACUGUGUAAAACUUGAUACAUACUUUUCUGUUUAAAGAUACCUCUCUUAUUUUUUUAGUCCAUUUUUUUUUAUUUAGUUUUACACACAACGUGAUACAAAACACUAUGAGUUGACUGCCGUCCAUUAUUGUAUAAUAUAUAUAUAUAUAUAUGAGUAAAAAAACUUCUGGUCUCUUAAGGUAAAGGAUAUCACUGAGAUAAAAUGUAUUACCAUUGUAACAAUUAAGAAAUAUUUCAAUAAGUUCUUUUCUACAAAAAAGAAAUCACAUAAAUUACAUGUUGUGACACAUUUAAAAACUUCUUUGUUGAAAAUUUGAAAAGAGAAAUGAAAAAAAAACAAAAACAAAAAAGUGCAAGGUUCAAACUCAGUACCUAUAUACUUCCCACCCUACAUCUACAAAUGUUGCUACCAAGGAUUUAUAAAUGCAUUGCAUCAAAAUGAGUCUAUCAGCUGAAUUACCUGCUGAGGAGGAAAAAUGGAAUGUAGAGAGAUGAAUACCUUUACAAGGGAAGUAACUCUUCAUUAAAAACAGCUCCAAGUGAAAUCCUUCUUUUAACUGAUGUAAUACGUGGUACCAUUUACCUUAGAAAAUAAGCCUGUGUCUUAGAUAAUAAGCCUGUGUGAUUUUACUGUGAGUUUUAUUUUUCUGUCGGAGGAAUGAAUUUUACAUGUAUCAGGUACAUAUAUUCAGGAACAUAAUCAGUUUCUGAAAUAUUUUGUGGCAGAUGUUAGGUAAUAAUGAUUUAUCUCCAAAGCAAAGGAACUGUUUAAUUAAUAUAGAGGUUACAUGUGAUUGCUACAGUAUGAAGCAUUUUAAAGGAAGUCCUUUGAUCUUUGUUGCUGUUUCUGUUGAAGCAUUGGUAAGAAUUUGAUCAUUUAAAGAUGUGAUAUGUGUUGGAAAUGACAGUGUUUUUGAAUGAAAUACUUCAACCUAUUCACUAUAGACUUUGUGAAUGUUUUUGGUUAUUUGAGGAAUUGAAAGCCUUUUUGUGAUCAUGUAGAAAAAUCCACCAUUAUCUGCAUGUGAAAUUGUUCUAUCUGGCUGCAAUUUGUUUGAAAAGCAAAAUUUUUAAAUUGGUAAAAAAAUGUUUUGCUAUUUCAUCACAUGAUUUGUGAAAGUAAAAUUAUUUUGAAAUAAUUUUUAAAUUGCAGCAAAAUUUGCCAAAUAUAAUAUAUAGUAAUACACCAUUCCGUCCCAGUAUUGUUGAUCCCUGUUUGGGCUGUUGACUCUCACCGCCGAUGAGGUCGUUAAUAAGAUUAUUUGUUGUGACUAUGUAAUUUAUGAAAAAGAUAUAUAUGAUGAAACUUCGAUGAGAUAUAUAUAAUUUAUUUUUUAUUUUUAAAUUAAAUUUGUACAUUCACAGCAUGUUGCAAAUAUCUGUAUUGUACAUAAAUUGCUAUGACUAGAUGCAAGUGUAACUUCAAAAGGUCUUGAGUGGAGUGUCAAUGUGAUCAAACUCAAUUCUUGAAAAAAACGUUCACCUUACCACUAAAUGUUGUAAUAUAUAACAUUGAUACUAACACGAUUUCAACCAUCUGAUCAUCAAUUGCAUAUUACGUGAAUCUGAAAUUUAGGAGGGUGUAGAAAGGGUUUGGAUUUUUUUUAAUUGAAAACAUCCAGGAACAUAUGUAAAUCAUUUCACAAUGAAGUACAUUUUGUAAUCACAUUUCACUAAUAAUAACUGUAUAUUGGUGUUUCACGUUUCCUUAUGAAAUGGUUGUGAUACCACUGAUUUUAAACAUUAUUUAUCAUAUAUUUGUCCUUUUAAAUCAUUUCUUAAUUCAGUGGUCAUCACUAAAUCACCUUUUGGUCAGUAAAGAGUGAGUAUAGCCUAUUAUAAUUACAUUAGUAGGGAGAAACCAUAUCCUGUUUAAUACGUCGUGGAUAGAUUAACCUAGUAGAUCUGUACAAUAAUGGCCUCUAUUACCAAGAAGGGUAAUAAGGCAAAGCUGGCAUUUGAAUACUCGUAGAAGUUGUGUUAAAGACUAACAAAGACUGUAUGUAGUAACUGACACAGUUGUUCUGUAACUAGGUUACUGACGGCCUGGUUAAUCUGUAUCUAAGUCAUUGACAGGCUUGACUGGUCUGUAUGUAGGUCACUGGCUGAGCUGUAUAUAGGUCAUUUAGAGUUUGGCUGAUCUAUAUGUAGACCACUGACUGUCUGGUCAGUCAUUAUGUAGGUAACUGAUCCAUGACGGUCUAUCAAAGUCUGUGCAUAAGAUACUGACAGUAUGGCAGGUCUCUUUGUAGGUCAAGGACGAUCUGGCUGGCCUGUAUGCAAGUCUGACAGGUCUGUAUGUAGUUUACAGACAGUAUGACAGGUCAAUAUGUAGGUAUAACUGUCAAUCUAGCAGGUCUAUAUGUAGGUGUUUGACAGGCCCAUAUGUAGGUUACUGCCAGUCUAGCAGGUCCAUAUGUAGGUUACUGACAGUGACAGGUCCAUAUAUGUAAGUUACUGUCAGUCUGACUGAUCUUUAGGUAGGUUACUGACGGCACAGUCUGACAGGUCCAUAUGUAGGUUACUGACAGUCUAACAGGUCCAUAUGUAGGUUACUGUCAGUCUGACAGCUGGUCUAUAUGUAGGUUACUGUCAGACUGACAGUAAGUCCAUAUGUAGGUUACUGACAGGACCAUAUGUAGGUUACUGUCAGUCUGACAGGUCUAUAUGUAGGUUACUUUCAGACUGACAGGUCCAUAUGUAGGUUACUGACAGGUCUAUGUAGGUUACUGUCAGACUGAUAGGUCUGUAUGUAGGUUAUUGACAGACGGACAGGUCUGUAUGUAGGUUACUGACAGACGGACAGAUCUGUAUGUAGGUUACUGCAGCUGUCAGUCUGACAGAUAUUUAGGUAGGUUACUGACGGUAUCAGUCUGACAGGCCCAUAUGUUGGUUACUGACAGGUCUGUAUGUAGGUUACUGUCAGACUGACAGGCCCAUAUGUAGGUUACUGACAGGUCCAUAUGUAGGUUACUGACAGACUGACAGGUCCAUAUGUAGGUUACUGACAGGUCUGUAUGUAGGUUACUGUCAAACUGACAGGUCAAUAUGUAGAUAACGGACAGUCACACUGGUCUCCAUGUAGUGUAUUAGCCAACAAUGUCAGAUCUUUCUUUUCUGUUUUUUUUUCCUGGUCAAGCUUGAUGCUAUAUGCCAGAAAUGUUUACGAAUUUCCUUGUACAAUGUAUUUGGAAAAUGAAAAUAAAGAUGAAUGACAAGAUA
rnacentral:misc_RNA from 1 species